rnacentral:tRNA from 1 species
GCCCCUGUAGCUCAGUGGAUAGAGCACUCUUCUAGCUAAGGAGCGGUCGCCGGUUCGAGUCCGGCCAGGGCUU